GACAGAGGGUGCAAACGUUGUUCGGAAUUACUGGGCGUAAAGCGUGUGUAGGCGGCUGCGCAAGUCGGAUGUGAAAGCCCCGGGCUCAACCCGGGAAGGGCACCCGAUACUGCGUAGCUUGAGUACCGGAGAGGUUGGUGGAAUUCUCGGUGUAGAGGUGAAAUUCGUAGAUAUCGAGAGGAACACCGGUGGCGAAGGCGGCCAACUGGACGAGUACUGACGCUGAGACACGAAAGCGUGGGGAGCAAACAGG
rnacentral:rRNA from 1 species